rnacentral:lncRNA from 1 species
GAUUUUUGAAUUGUUGGACUUUUGAUGGCUUGAAAAAUAUUUUGAUUGGAUUUUUUAUGCAUGAUAAAUUAUCUAAAUAAUUUAUAAAUUAUUUAUUUGUUAAUUUUGCUCACUAUUAUAUUGUUCAAUUGCAUUUUCGUGUAGCUCCAAAGGAUCCGGAACACUCUAUGGAUCUUGAGUUACUGAGUCAUUGAGGGCUA